rnacentral:rRNA from 1 species
UUUAGCAGAGAUGCUUUAGUGCCUUCGGGAACUCUGAGACAGGUGCUGCAUGGCUGUCGUCAGCUCGUGUUGUGAAAUGUUGGGUUAAGUCCCGCAACGAGCGCAACCCUUAUCCUUUGUUGCCAGCACGUAAUGGUGGGAACUCAAAGGAGACUGCCGGUGAUAAACCGGAGGAAGGUGGGGAUGACGUCAAGUCAUCAUGGCCCUUACGAGUAGGGCUACACACGUGCUACAAUGGCGCAUACAAAGAGAAGCGACCUCGCGAGAGCAAGCGGACCUCAUAAAGUGCGUCGUAGUCCGGAUUGGAGUCUGCAACUCGACUCCAUGAAGUCGGAAUCGCUAGUAAUCGUAAAUCAGAAUGUUACGGUGAAUACGUUCCCGGGCCUUGUACACACCGCCCGUCACACCAUGGGAGUGGGUUGCAAAAGAAGUAGAUAGCUUAACCUUCGGGAGGGCGUCUACCACUUUGUGAUUCAUGACUGGGGUGAAGUCGUAACAAGGUAAGCGUAGUGCU